GUGCAGCAGCCGAGAAACCUCCGCAAUACACGAAAGUGUGACGGGGCCAUCCCGAGUGCCGUCCGCUGAGGACGGCUUUUCCUCAGUGUACACAGCUGGGGGAAUAAGGAGAGGGCAAGCCUGGUGUCAGCCGCCGCGGUAAUACCAGCUCUCCGAGUGGUGGGGACGCUUAUUGGGCCUAAAGCAUCCGUAGCCGGCUGGGCAAGUCCUCCGUUAAAUCCAACGAUUCAAUCGUUGGGCUGCGGGGGAUACUGUCCAGCUUGGGGGCGGGAGAGGCCGACGGUAUUCCCGGGGUAGGGGUGAAAAUCCUAUAAUCCCGGGAGGACCACCAGUGGCGAAGGCUGUCGGCUAGAACGCGCCCGACGGUGAGGGGAUGAAAGCUGGGGGGAGCGAACCGGAUUAGAUACCCC
rnacentral:rRNA from 1 species